CAACACUAUUUUGAUCUGUGUAUGUUGGUCGCCGCGAGUGUUUACAAAAAAAUGUCGGUGAAAACGGUUGAGCUCGUAGUCAAGUUAGAAAAGGUAUCAUUAAUUUGUCUGGAAAUCGAUUUACUGUUCAAUCUCAGUUGAGAUAUUAAAAGUGGAAAGCUUUCCAGCAGGAGCGGUGGAUAGAUCGAACGGGCAAUCACCAAAAACUGUUUUACAGCACCGGGUUGGUAAAAUAUCUGCCGCAACCGCCUCCAAUGGAAUCCAACUGAUCACGAAUGUAAAAUUGCAAAAUGUGCAUGGGAAGUCCAGGAACUAGUCCAACGCAGGAUCAUGAACGAAUCCGUCAUCUCGGAUCCGGAUGCCACGCUGCUGAUUACUAAGAAAGAAAUCGAAAAUGAGCUACUCAGUUCUUGUACGUGUAUUAAGUACGAUUCAUUGAUUUGUUGUUCAAUAAAAUAAAUGGGUGUUUUAUUUUUAA